rnacentral:rRNA from 1 species
GGAUGAACGCUGGCGGCGUGCCUAAUACAUGCAAGUCGAGCGAACAGAUAAGGAGCUUGCUCCUUUGACGUUAGCGGCGGACGGGUGAGUAACACGUGGAUAACCUACCUAUAAGACUGGGAUAACUUCGGGAAACCGGAGCUAAUACCGGAUAACAUAUUGAACCGCAUGGUUCAAUAGUGAAAGGCGGCUUUGCUGUCACUUAUAGAUGGAUCCGCGCCGUAUUAGCUAGUUGGUAAGGUAACGGCUUACCAAGGCAACGAUACGUAGCCGACCUGAGAGGGUGAUCGGCCACACUGGAACUGAGACACGGUCCAGACUCCUACGGGAGGCAGCAGUAGGGAAUCUUCCGCAAUGGGCGAAAGCCUGACGGAGCAACGCCGCGUGAGUGAUGAAGGUCUUCGGAUCGUAAAACUCUGUUAUCAGGGAAGAACAAAUGUGUAAGUAACUGUGCACAUCUUGACGGUACCUGAUCAGAAAGCCACGGCUAACUACGUA